rnacentral:rRNA from 1 species
UACGUAGGCAGCAAGCGUUGUUCGGAGUUACUGGGCGUAAAGGGUGCGUAGGCGGUUGUUUAAGUUUGGUGUGAAAUCUCCCGGCUCAACUGGGAGGGUGCGCCGAAUACUGAAUGACUAGAGUGCGGGAGAGGAGAGUGGAAUUCCUGGUGUAGCGGUGAAAUGCGCAGAUAUCAGGAGGAACACCGGUGGCGAAGGCGGG